UACAGAGGGUGCAAGCGUUAAUCGGAAUUACUGGGCGUAAAGCGCGCGUAGGCGGCUGUCUAAGUCGGGUGUGAAAGCCCCGGGCUCAACCUGGGAACUGCAUUCGAUACUGGACGGCUAGAGUAUGAGAGAGGGAGGUAGAAUUCCACGUGUAGCGGCGAAAUGCGUAGAUAUGUGGAGGAAUACCGGUGGCGAAGGCAAUCCCCUGGACCUGUACUGACGCUCAUGCACGAAAGCGUGGGGAGCAAACAGGAUUAGAUACCCUUGUAGU
rnacentral:rRNA from 1 species